AAAAGAGAAUUCUCAGUUGGCUAGCGCAUACUGCCGUUAUCUGUUAGAUAAUUAAAUCAAAACACUUUGCAGGAAUUUCCCGAAGUUGCGUGGUGCCUUCAGUACUUUUCUUCAGCGUAUAGUUCUGUGAAUUUUUUUCUCCAGCCAGUUGGGAUGUUGAGAUCAGCAGCAAACCGCUUGAUGUUUCCAAUCAUCUCAGGUUUAUCAAGCUGUUAGGUUUUUGAGCACAGAUCACCCAAGAGUUAUUUCAGCUGGAGAGGCAUCACUUGUUGAGGUAUUGAAACAAAAGUUUCUGAAAGCAAAAUACAUUGAAGUGCAAGAUAUCUCAGGUGGCUGUGGUUCCAUGUACGAAAUCUAUGUGGAGACUCCAGAUUUCAAAGGUCUUAAUACAAUCAAACAACAUAGGUUAGUCACCGAAGCCCUUCUAGAUGCUAUCUAGAAAAAAAAUCAGAAUAGUCUCGUGGUGCAGACAGGCAUGUUGCUGUUUGUGUUACUUCAUGCCUGAAUGAUUUUUGGUGUCUUCAUGUCAGUUGUGUCUUGGUGAAGGUGACGUUUGAAGGUAAGUCCCAGUAUUUAAUUAAUUAGUUUUAGCCCUAUUGAUCUAUUUUCGCCCUCCAUCUUUGGCAUGAUUGGUUUUGUUCUUCUUUUCGGCAGACCAUUUUUGCCUGGCUGCCUAUGCCAUCGUGAGGCAUUUUUUGUUUUGUUUUUCUUUUCGGCGGGCGAUAUUUUGCCGGCCGCCUAUGCCUUCGUAAGGCAUUUUUUUGCUUUUUUUUCUUUGUUUCAUUUUUGCCCGACUGCCCGUCCGCCCAUUUCGAAGCAUUUUUUGCUUUGUUUUUCUUUUUGGCCGCCCAUUUUUGGCCUUCCAGCUAUGCCUUCGUGAGGUGUCUUUUACUCUGUGUUUUUUUUUUUUCGACGCGGCAUUAUUUUGCUCGGUCGCCUAUGCCUUCGUGAGGCAUUUUUGUUUUUGUUUAUUUUUUCAUUUUGGCAAGCCAUUUUUGACCGGCCGCUGCCUUCGUGAGGCUUUGUUUUCUUUUGCUUUUCUGAGCGUGUCCCGUGUGCAGAUGGGGCACUUAGAUAGUGUCAAUGCCACUUGGUCACACUUUGUCGUACCGUAAUUAUGUGCGUGUUGUCAAAUUUGAACCCGUAGCACUCUUCAAAAUAGCCUUAGAGUUAUGUUCCUUGAUACUUCACACCCUCGUAAGAUAAAGACCGAAUGCAACAUUUCUCAAAAAAACAGUUAGUGUACUGCAAUACCGAUUAGUCUUUAAUAUGAUGAAGAAAAAUUUUCAAAUGCACAACAAUUUCAUUGGAACUAUGUUCCAACAUGCCGAUGAUAAUUUUGGGGAAGAAUUUUUUUUAAGGGAAAAAUUUGGAUUCAUUUUUUAAAAAACAACUUUCAGAAAAAAAAGAAAUGGUUGGAAAACAUGGAAACUGAUGAAAUGUUUACACACUUUUUGAUAAAGGUAACGCUCGCCCCAAGCACAAUCAUAGUCACACAUAGAAUGAAAAAUUUGCUCAACCAAGGCUUUUGCUCUCUUUUUAAAUUCCAAAAGUAAAUUUACGGGUAAAAAAAAAAAGGACGAAACAGAAACAGAGAAAACAACUGCGCGAAUGAGGCUGUUGAGUUGUGACGUCAUAAAAACAGAACGGAAAGCGGUAACAACAAAAAGGCUAAUGAUGAGAUUCGCAAUCCGACCAGCGAAGAAACUCCUCCACGAGCUUUGGGAGGCUCGAACCCUCGGUCAACGACGUUAAUCUUCCAUCCCAAGCUAUUGUGCGUGUAACACUGUUCAAAAUUUCGUAAACCACGGGAAUCAGUUAAUAGAUAAAGAAAGAAAUGGAACUUGUGUGCUAAUCACCUGAUAAUACAAGGUGUUGGGUGCGUUCAGUGGAACAGGCCACGUUACGUUGGCCGGAUGCCGUCGAUCGCUUUGGCAUUCGAGUAUCAAAGUUUGUUUGUAGCCUUCAAAUGUCUCUGAUUCGGCCCACUUGUCCACCGUUUUGCGCUCCCAUUCGCACAGGCUUCCGGCUGAGGAACAAUCGUGAUGUUAAAUUUUGUGUUUUACUUUCAUCCUAAAGUGUUUGAUGAGUUUAGCAAUUACCAGCGGUGGGAAAAGGAAAUCCGCUAGGAUCGAACUCGAUUUCGGCAAAUAUGCGCUGAUCAAUUUCAAUACUGCCAGUGACCGUCGGGGUAUUAUUUUCCUGUUCAUUUUGUAAUGUGGUAGUUGGAGAUUCUUGCUGCAAAAAACAUACUUGCUUUUCAAGCGGGGCGGGUUUUCGGAGGAACUGGGGGAACCCCGCUAUUCUUCAAUACUGUGUCACCAUUUAGCAAACAAAAAACAUGUACCAUCAACGUCGAGUCUAAAAUCCAUAACAGUUAUGAAAUUAAAUUUAUUUUUGCUUUAGGUUAAAAAACAAUAUUGUUUUACGAAUUGGUAAAUAAAACUCAUAUCAGGAUAAGUGAAAUGGAUUUGACAAAUGUACUAAUGGGUUUUGCAACACUAUACUGCUCUGUGGAAGGAAAAUUAAAAGGAUUUCAAAAAUUCAUUAUGUUGGGCGUCCAUAGCCGAGUGGUUAUGGCGUCUGAUGAUUAUCAAUGACCCUAGAUGAGGCUUAGAGGGAUUGAAGUAAUGUACAUGGAAACAUGGGACAUGGAACCUGAACUUGGGGCGCGAGUCUACGGUCGAUGAUCACAUUUUUUUCCAAAUUAACGGUAUUUGAGAAAUAAAAUAAAACAAAGGAAAAAGCAAAAUGUAAAAUUAGCAAUUCAACGUAAUUAUGUAAUUAAUAAUUAACAAAAACUUCCGGUGAAUUGUAACAUGAUGUCCGUCCAGACGAUCGCCAGGGUCAAAGGUUCGAAUCGGGAUCACACCAAAACGUUUUGCAUUUUCAAUUUUAGAUUUGAUUAGAUUUUUAGGUUCGCUGUGUGUUUGGGAUUCAUAGAAUAUGCUUUUUAGAAUUUUUUCGGCUAAUCAACUAGUUGUAGCAAGAAUUGAAAGAUAGGUUUUUUUCAAUCUGCUUAAUGUCAGCAUGAAUUGUAUUAAUAUGUUAUCUGUAUGUUAUCUGUAUGUUGUAUUAAUAUGUUACUAUGUAAUCUGUGUAUCAAAGUCAAUAGAACCCCGCCUUAAUUUGAAAGGCAAUAGAAAAUUAUUUUUUUUAUCUGUGGAUCUGGCAACGCUUAUGCUAAAGCAGACGACGAAACGGGUUAUAAAAGUAAACAACGUACGAACAAAAAGAAAAUUCUUAGUUAGGUAGUGCAUACUGCCGUUGUCUGUUGUAUAAUUAAACUAAACAUUUUCCCGAAUUUUCCAAAAUUUUGUGGUGCCCUAAUACUUUUCUUAGCAUAUAGUUCUCUGAAUUUUUUCUCUAUAGGUCUAACAUUUUCAUGUUUCAGGCUUAUCAAGCUGUUAGGUUUUUGGGCACAGAUGACCCAAGAAUUAUUUCAGCUGGAGAGGUAUCACUUGUUGAGGUAUUGAAACAAAAGUUUCCCAAAGCAUAGUACAUUGAAAUGCAAUAUAUCACAGUGGCUGUGGUGCCAUAUACGAAAUCUAUGUGGAGACUCCAGAUUUCAGAGGUCUUCACACAAUCAAGCAACAUAGGUUAGUCACUGAAGUCCUUGAACGUUACUACUUUUUGAGUUUCUUGCCAAGUUUGAUGGCACAGUGGUGCCAUUGACAGUUUGACGAGCGUUACCUGGGCGACGGUGGUUGAAUCACUACGUCCUACUUAUUUCUAAUCGAAACUGCCAUGAACAUUAUAACAGAAGGAACUGAUGGCAAAUUGAUCAUCUUGCCUGUAUAACUUUGUACCGUAUGAGAAGAGUACCGUAUGAGAUAUCAUAAGCUUGUUUGUUGAAUUUUUAACUUAAUUGGAUGCAGUAGAUUUCGUUGUUAUGUAAGACGGUUCCCUUAUACUUUGUAAUACAAAAUUAGGAAAGACAAACAAUAUAAACGCCGUACCAGAGCCGAUCGGUAGCACCACAGUUACAGGCCGUGGAGCGCUGUCUUUCGUGCAUAGGUAUCUGAUUAUACUAUGCCAACUACAUUGACGAUCUUUUUCUGUCACGCAAGUGCCCUCAAGUCACACUUAUUCACGUUGCCUCGAAGCAAAGCAAACAAACAAUCCACAAGUCACGGACAAUAAGAAAAAAAACAACCGGAAAAGCCAAAAGGCAAAAGAGACGACAUCGAGUGCCCUAAAAUGGGACCAGGAAACAUUUCUUUCAUACCUGAAUCGCGACUUCCGUUACGCAACGCUAGUUAAACAUUAUUUUCACGGCUUUAUUUCUAAUAGACGCCUUCGUGGUACACGUCACAAGGAAAAUUUUUCAACAAUAACGUUGGGUAACUGACGUAAUUCCUCACCGUAUUCGAGAACACGUAGUUUCGUUAUUGCUGAUGAAUUCACCAUGAGCCGUAAUUGACUUGAAUUCACUACUUCCAUUGCUAGAACUAAAGUCAAGGACUAUUACGGAUUAUGCAUUUUCCCUGUACUCACCAUUAUGUUAAACUGUAUCAUUCUACAAGAUUGAAAUACGCCUGUCAUUUUUUUGUGGGGCAGGCUUGAUGGAUAAACUCUGCGUGCGUAA